AUCUGAUGAUGAGGGAAACUUGUGCACAACCUCUUAAAACUCUCCCAAUAGUCAUAUAAGCUCUCACCAUGUUGUUGCCUAAUUCCAAAGAUGUCCUUUCUGAUU